rnacentral:rRNA from 1 species
CUAUGCGCCUUGCCAGCCCCGCUCAGAAACUUAAAGGAAUUGACGGGGGCCCGCACAAGCGGCGGAGCAUGUGGAUUAAUUCGAUGCAACGCGAAGAACCUUACCUGGGUUUGACAUACACCGGAAAACCGUAGAGAUACGGUCCCCCUUGUGGUCGGUGUACAGGUGGUGCAUGGCUGUCGUCAGCUCGUGUCGUGAGAUGUUGGGUUAAGUCCCGCAACGAGCGCAACCCUUGCCUUUAGUUGCCAGCAGUUCGGCUGGGCACUCUAAAGGGACUGCCGGUGUUAAACCGGAGGAAGGUGGGGAUGACGUCAAGUCCUCAUGGCCUUUAUGACCAGGGCUACACACGUACUACAAUGGCCGAUACAAAGGGCAGCGACACUGCGAGGUGAAGCCAAUCCCGUAAAAUCGGUCUCAGUCCGGAUUGGAGUCUGCAACUCGACUCCAUGAAGUUGGAAUCGCUAGUAAUCGUGGAUCAGCAUGCCACGGUGAAUACGUUCCCGGGCCUU